UACGGAGGAUGCGAGCGUUAUUCGGAUUUAUUGGGUUUAAAGGGUGCGUAGGCGGGAUGCCAAGUCAGCGGUAAAAAUGCGGUGCUCAACGCCGUCGAGCCGUUGAAACUGGCGUUCUUGAGUGGGCGAGAAGUAUGCGGAAUGCGGGGUGUAGCGGUGAAAUGCAUAGAUAUCACGCAGAACUCCGAUUGCGAAGGCAGCAUACCGGCGCCCUACUGACGCUGAGGCACGAAAGCGUGGGUAUCGAACAGG
rnacentral:rRNA from 1 species